ensembl:snRNA U7 U7 small nuclear RNA
UAGUGUUAUAGCUCUUUUAAAUUUGUCUAGCAGGUUUUCUGGUGUUCACCCAAAAACCUCC